GAGCAAUGAGGAUAAAAACUCAACAGAGAUGUACUGUGGUGAUCGUAUACGCUAUUCUGAGCUGAGA
ensembl:snoRNA SNORD54 small nucleolar RNA, C/D box 54